rnacentral:sRNA from 18 species
CGACCCCUCGGGUCACCUAGCCAACUGACGUUGUUAGUGAACCUAGUGUUCACAAUUGAUAGCCAAUAGUGAAAUGACUGUUGGCUUUUUUUUG